rnacentral:RNase_P_RNA from 1 species
GUGAGCUGGCGGAUGGCUCCGAGCCGAGAAAGGCUUGAGGAAACUCCGCCCACCAUGCAGACUUGCAGCAUUCGUAAGGAUGCAAGGCGAGAGUCUUGGCAACAGAACAGAAACGAAACGUCCAUCCGGCACUUGAUAAUGAUACAUUCAAGUUGUUGAAGAUGCUGGGUGUGAAGCGUUGAAACGGCUGUCCUGCAAGGUGCAAGGGCAAACAGACGCUUAUGAAAACUGCAUGAAGCGAGGGUAGCCCGAUUAGCCAAAUGCCAUCUUUGAACAAAAGGCGGGUUACGCCCAGCACAC